GGGCUCCGGGCGGCCGUGACCCUGCUGGAGUCCCGGGGGGGACCUCCAGCCCCCCGGGGGGGUCCCUGCGCCUCCUCUGCCGCGCCUCGGGGUUCACUUUCGGCAGUUUCAACAUGGAUUGGGUCCGCCAGAGACCCGGGCAGGCGCUGGAAUUCAUGGCAGAGAUCCGGGAAAACGGUGCCAGUGCUUGGUACGCGCCGUCGGUGCGGGGGCCGGUUCGGGAUCUCCCGGGACAAACCGGGCAGAGCUCGGUGACGCUGACCAUGAACGGCCUCAAGGACGAGGAUUCCGGCUCCUAUUUCUGUGCCAAAUCCUCCGGCGCCGGCGCCGGGUGUUGUUUCGCUGCUGAUUAUGUUGGCGGUGCCGGAGGUGUCCCCACCCCCACCUUUGUGUCCCCCCCUGUCCCCCGGUUCCCCGACGCCGAAAUCCAGGGCUGA